GAUUACGAAUCUUGUAUUCUUCAAAAUUUGUCACCAAAUUUUCUUUAACGGCCCGAAGUAGCACACAUCUAAAGGUUGAGUCAGACGUGACGAGUUUGGAGGUAAACACAUGAAACGGAUGUUGUUUCUUCGCAGAGUUUUACAAUUUUAGGAUUGUGUGAUGCUAAAUUAUCUCCUAUGAUUACUUUUAGACCAGAUUUGGUUCUAGCCCAAGGUAUAAUUAUUGUUUGAAACCAGUCUUCGAAAAUCACAGUAUCGAACCACCCAGAGGAAGAACGGUUAUAUCGUGCACCCUUCGGCCAAUUUAUUGGCUGUUUAAAUGUUGAACUCUAUAAACAACAUAAGGUGGUAAAGUGAUACCAGCAGCGGUAAUAGCAAACAUAACUGAAAUGGCACCUUUGCUGUGGUUUAACACUCUUUCCGGGUAUUUUACACCUCUUCAAAAUAAGCAUCGUUGUGCACCAGGAUUAUCUGCAAAAUUGGUUUCAUCAUAGUUAACCAAGUUUUCUUUAGGUGCUCCAUCUAAAGAAAUUCUUUCAGAAAUCUCGUCUGUAUUUUUUUCGCACGACUCCUCUUUAUAUUUUGAGUAGAACGACUAGUGAGCUCAGUCUUAUGUCUGUCGGUUUAAAAAUAAAUAUGCCCAUUUUCUGCCGGGAUGUUUGUUAUGGAAGAUAUCCCUUCCUGCCAUUUGCUUCCAAAUAAUUUUUAACUACAAUUCUUAAAUCUAAGAGUGUUAAAGGGCUGUCACCGGCGGCUAUUAAAACCCUCACGAUGUUAUUUUCGUCUUUUUCUGUAAGACGCCUUUUAGCUCCAGGAUUUUGUGGAUGCUUUUUGUGUAACUUAUUUAUCUAAAAGUGUUCUCCGCGGAAUAUCAAACGUUUUCUCGGCUUCAUAUGAGGAUAUUUUUUAUUUCUCAUUAAUUCUAAAGCUAUUUCUACUAUAGACAUGUCAUGUUGACUAGUAUACUGUCGCUUCUUUUUUGUAGGAUUAAUUUUUGCUCUUUUACUUAUUGUGAAGACCUGCAAUUAUUCCAGAUUCAUUUAUUUUAUUACUGUACAUGUACUAAAGUUAGAUUUGAUUCUAUAAAAAAGCUGCUGAAUAGUCAACUCAACACCAAUUUUACACAGCAUUCAAAACUAAUUUUAGUGAAAACACCACCUUGUUUCGUGUAAUAUUAAAUUUCUUCUUUUAGGUUAUAAUAGUAAAGGUAAUAUCUACGUGUUUUAAUUAAUAUAUCAUUUAAAUAUAAUUUGCCAAUUUCGUCAAAUGUUAUAUUAUCUCAAAUAAUAGGUACAAAUGAAUUUAUCAAAGAUUAAGUGACAACCCUAGGGGUAGGCGAAGUACGUUACCAUCAUGGCGGCCGCAGCUACCUUGUUGAUAAAUCUUGAUGUAACUCAUUAUCUACUUAUGAUAUAUUGAAAACAAUUGUACAACAUAAAAGACGAUAAAGUAGUGAUUUUAUUUUACAAUUAAGUUUAGCCAUUAGUAGAUUCUUGGCGGCACGUUUUUUGACCGGUAGAAAUAAACAUCUCACUUCCCGCAGCAGACAAAUGGCACUGGUGGCUAUUGUUGUGAAGUUAGUUACAAAUGGUCAGGAAUAGUAUUGCCGUAGAUAACACUAGUAUUGUAUGGGGGGGGGGGGGGGGGGGGGGUGUUAUAAUUUUAUUUCGUCAUUUUACUUCAGCAUUGGGUUUAUCAGAUCAAGGUAGCAUGGGAACGUGUCGUCAUUAUAUACUAAUUAACAAAAAACAACCUGUAUAUAUUUUUUAAUUUUGGAAAUACAACAUCUAUCCAGAACUUAGUUGCAGUAUUCAUAACAGAUACAAUGCUGCUGUAUGAUUCUCUAGUGUAAAAUUAUAUUUACAUCGGUUGCACUUAGGAUGUUACCUUAGAUGUAGCACAUUUGCUAUUCUACUAAUUGAGUUCGACUCGUGGCUGCGACACUAGCGCCUCACAUGCGAGUGUGACGGAUGUAGGAAACGCAUUUUUGACAUUUAUGUAUGAAAAGCGUUUAAAAAAAUAAGUAAUAACCAUAAUCAGCUUUCAUUCCCCCUGUCACCCCUACAUUUUUAUUUUAUUAACGUUUUGCUUGGACGAUCCUAAAUCAGCAAUUCCAGCUUUUUAUAUUGUUAUGAAUAAAUUUUUAUAUUAUUUCCAGCCAAUCAGUGCAAGGAGCGUUGGCAGAAACUGCGAGAUAACUUCACAAAAGCCAUAAAAAACCGAAAAGGCAAGCACGCUAGCACUUUUCGCUUCCUAGCACACCACUACCACCAUCGACACCAUCUAAUUCUGAAUCUGAAAUGCGUCCAAGCACUUCUAACUCGAACGAGACACCACCACACUCAGGCAAAGAUGUUGCUACAGUCUUUCAAGAAUUUCUUUAAGAGAAAAGAAAGCGUGAUCCCCAUAGCGACCCAAUACGUAAUUUUUUCCUAUCUAUGUCAGAUAUAGUUGAAACGUUUCCAAAAGGGAUCCAAGCAAGAAUCCGCUCCUAAAUCCUUUCCGCAACCUCCACAGUGCAGUUAUAAAAAAAGUACAACUUUUUAUUGCUCGACAAUAAAGACGCAAGACAUUGCUCGGAUGCACCGUAAUUUCUAUAACUUGCGAAAUAAACUUGAUCAAGAUAAUUUCAUAUUGCAGCACUGCCGUAUUGUGAAAUGUUUUGGAAUUAGACUAAAAAAUGAAUCUAGAGGACCAAAAAAUCUUAGUGCAGAAUACUACGUAACGAUUAAAAAUCCGCACAAACAGAUAAGAGUUUGCAAAUCUGCCGUGAAAGUUGACAAUUUUGAACUGGUCAUCAUCGAUAACUAGAAUAAAUGAGACAUCUCAAAAUAUGUUUGUAUAACGGAAAACGACGCAAUCUCUAGUCUACCUUUGAUCCUUGAAAAAGAAGCGGCUACGUGAUGGCAAGGCGUGAAGGAAGGCAUAAAGACGUGAUGAGACUUCCCAGAACCGGCUGUGAGACGCGUUCGCACCCAAGAAAUCCGGCUAUAUGAUUUUUCAGGAUAUUAGCGCAUCGGCAACAGGAGAACAUGCUAACCGAAACAUUUGUAGCCGAAAACAGGGCACUGUUGGCCUUACUCCCUGCCAUUUAACGAAGAACAGCAGAUGGAUGUAAUUUACGGUCAGUUGCAUCAGAAGAUUCGGGAGAAGGUGCAACGCCAUACAGUGAAUACCUUUGAUGAAUUAAUAACUUCAGCCCGCAACGAUGAGCAAUUGCUCAGAGAAAAGACCUCUAUUUCGGCAGACAUUCCGGAUGAAGUAAAGUUUAAGAAACUGAGGUGUGACUUCUGCCGACCCAUCGGACACACCACGGAGGCUUGCAGGAAAAAAAAUCGGCACCACGCUAUGAAGGUCUCUGUAGGGGCCCUCGCCGUCACAGCCGGCUAUCUCAUGCUACGGUUGUGGCGCGCCAAACGUGGUACGCAGUCGGUGUCCUACCUGCAAUCCCACCAAGCAAGCCGUUAAAACAGAAGCGCAGGUUGAUUUUUGCGCACUGAAUGUGAGGACGGACGUCCGACCGAGGCCCGUAAUCGGGAUAGGCAUAUAUGACGCAGUAGGGAUUGCCUAUGUGGAUACCAGCUUUACACUCAGCUCAAAGCCCGCGGAUGUAAGUUCCUGAAACCAACCGUGACGAUCACCUUAGCAGACGGGAUUAAGCGAAGGGAAGACGUCCUUUUAGCAACGGUGCCUGUGCUGUGCGACCGCACGAUGCCAACUUACUGUAUUAUAACAGAUGUAUCAGAUAUUGUAACAGUGUGAAUGUUAAUAAUUGUUCUAUUGAGUGGACGAAGACACUCAUUCUAGAAGGAAAAGAAUGUCAAGUUAAAAGAAAUGAAAUAAAUAAAGAAACUUCGAGCGUCCCAAAAAACUGAGAAGAAGACCCUCUGGCUAUACAUCUCCUUAGUACCUUGACUGAAGUAAUUCAGGUGUUUAAGUUUGUAAGGGAAAAAAUGUAGUAUGCUAGAGAUAUAGUCAAUGGUAUAAAGAAAAAUGCUUCUGUGAUUUGUCAUUUUAUUUUGUAAAAACAAACACAAUAAAAGUCUUCUUCAUAUGUGAUAUAAACGAUACAUGGUUCUUUUAUUUGAUGAACAGUUCCAAUAAUGAUUCGUCCUAAGUGUUAGAAAAUACAGGUAUUGUAUAAAACUCAAUAUAGAUGUAUCUGAACAUAGAUGUUUCAAAAAUUGGUCUGGUAGUGCAAAUGGUAUAGAAUCAGACAUUAUUGCAGGAGGUUUUGCUAAAAGUACAGAAAUGCAUGGAAUAGAAUAUAAAUCAUUUGCAACGAAAUAUCUGCAACAGAAUUUAUAGCACUUGGAAAAAAAACAAAUAACCACAACGACUUUGCAUCAGUGAAGCUUGGAAAAAGGUUGUAGAAAACUUUUUGCGUUUAAGAAAGGCGGUAACUGGAGUAGUAAAUUAUAGAGAAUCACAAGAGCUUUUAAAUCACGAUAAAAGGAUUAAAUGUCUGAAGAAAGAUAUUAAAAAUACAGCAAAUUACGAGACCAUGGUAAUUACGUUGCUUACUUUUGUAACGCAGAAAAAUACAAAAACGACUCGAAUUUGGUUCCUGAUCUUCAACGUACCGGUUGGUUAAUGGACUGACGCGGACGUCCAGAACCACAAAAUGAAAGGGUUCGAAAACUUCCAGUGGCUAAAAAACAAAAAAAAAAAUAUUUAUUGUUACAGGCAAUGUAUGCAAGCAGCGGUGGACCAGGAUCAAAGCAACCAUGGAAAAGGAUAGAACAUCAACUAUCCUGAUGUUACCAAAAUUGAAGCACAGGCAUUUUACAUGGAUGACCUAGUUUCAGCUAUGUAGUUUAUUAAAAUCAGUUUCACAUGUGUUAACACAGUUGCAAAACGGAAAGUUAUCGGCGCUCAGCAUUGAUAAUAAUUAAAGCAAAAUUAGAUGAGAAAAACUACUGCAGUAAUUUAUCGGCAGAACACAUGAAAAACAUGAACAACUUCUCAGCUAUCCUACGAGAUACAAUAAGGUACCAGAAAUCAGAAAUUGGCGGAAAUAUAUCUUGAUCUUUUGUGUGAACACGUGCACCAAUCAGCCCGCUCGGAUGAUAAAAAGAGCAUUAAAACAUUAUCUAGUGACUGUGCAGACAAAACAAAGGCAUAAAUAGCCAGAGUCGCCUGUUAUUUUUAGACAAUAGGAUAAAAAUUAAAGCGCUGGCAAGUACAAUAAAAAGUUUUUUUACGAAAAACU